rnacentral:lncRNA from 1 species
CGAGCCUUCGUCGAGAAGUGAUGGCUGAUGAUAUAGGUCGAGAUAUGACCGCUGCAGAGAGUGGCUUGGAUUUGUGACACGUGUCUUCGUGGACGGUCGUAGAUAGCGACCUUUGGCCUCCCAUCGUUUUCACCUAUAAAUACUAUUGUUCUCACCUUCAUUUUUCACUUUUACCCACUGUAAAUCAGAGUUUUGCGAGGUCGUGCUCGAGAAAAACACUUUUGGGAACUUCUCAAGUCGUCGGGAACUCCAGGUAAGGCUCGAGACUUUAAGUUAUUCAUAAGCUAGGUCUUAAGUUUGUUAAGUGAUGUCGAGUAGUGAGGGUCGAGAAUCUUCUAGCAGUUCUAGUAGUAGUGAGGACGUAUGGACCUCGAUAAUACCGAC